UUUUUUUCGGGGAGGGAACCUGCGCAAGGAUCAAUUAUGGAGUUUUGACCGGGUUGUAGCUGGCCUUCCGAGGCAUGUGCACGCCCUGCUCAUCCACUCUACACCUGUGCACUUACUGUGGGCUUCAGAUUGCGAGGCACGCUCUUUACCGGGCUUGCGGAGCAUAUCUGUGCCUGCGUUUAUCACAAACUCUAUAAAGUAACAGAAUGUGUAUUGUGAUGUAACACAUCUAUAUACAACUUUCAGCAACGGAUCUCUUGGCUCUCGCAUCGAUGAAGAACGCAGCGAAAUGCGAUAAGUAAUGUGAAUUGCAGAAUUCAGUGAAUCAUCGAAUCUUUGAACGCACCUUGCGCUCCUUGGUAUUCCGAGGAGCAUGCCUGUUUGAGUGUCAUGAAAUCUUCAACCUACAAGCUUUUGUGGUUUGUAGGCUUGGACUUGGAGGCUUGUCGGCCGUUAUCGGUCGGCUCCUCUUAAAUGCAUUAGCUUGGUUCCUUGCGGAUCGGCUCUCGGUGUGAUAAUGUCUACGCCGCGACCGUGAAGCGUUUGGCGAGCUUCUAACCGUCUUAUAAGACAGCUUUAUGACCUCUGACCUCAAAUCAGGUAGGACUACCCGCUGAACUUAAGCAUAUCAAUAAGCGGAGGAA
rnacentral:rRNA from 1 species